CCUACGGGGGGCAGCAGUGGGGAAUAUUGCACAAUGGGGGAAACCCUGAUGCAGCAACGCCGCGUGAGUGAUGACGGCAUUCGGGUUGUAAAGCUCUGUCUUCAGGGAAGAAAAUGACGGUACCUGACGACGAAGCCACGGCUAACUACGUGCCAGCAGCCGCGGUAAUACGUAGGUGGCGAGCGUUUUCCGGAUUUACUGGGGGUAAAGGGAGCGUAGGCGGUUGCUUAAGUCUGGUGUGAAAUGCGCGGGCACAACUCCAGGACUGCAUUUGAAACUGGGAAUCUAGAGUGCAGGAGAGGUAAGUGGAAUGCCUAGUGUAGCGGUGAAAUGCGUAGAGAUUAGGAAGAACACCAGUGGCGAAGGCGGUUCACUGGACUGUAACUGACGUUGAGGCUCGAAAGCGUGGGGAGCAAACAGGAUUAGAUACCCUAGUAGUC
rnacentral:rRNA from 1 species